rnacentral:misc_RNA from 1 species
GUUGUUAUCAUGCAGGCUUCUAACUAGUGAAGCUUUGGAAGGUUUGUCCUUGUUGAGUAAGUUGGAGGUACUUGACACAAGUGGGUGCAGAAGCAUUGGAAACCCCUGUCUCUUUGUCAUAUCAAGAGUUACUACACUCACAAAACUAAACUUAGCAGAAGCUGAUAUCACCGACAAGGGUCUUGCUUUGCUUGGUAUGGGAAACUUGGGCAUUACACAGUUGUGCAUCAGAGGCUGUAAGAGAGUAACUGAUAAGGGAAUUGAGCGUUUAUUUUGUGCUGAAGGAAAA